rnacentral:rRNA from 1 species
GAAGAACGCUGGCGGCGUGCCUAAUACAUGCAAGUCGAGCGAAUGGAUUAAGAGCUUGCUCUUAUGAAGUUAGCGGCGGACGGGUGAGUAACACGUGGGUAACCUGCCCAUAAGACUGGGAUAACUCCGGGAAACCGGGGCUAAUACCGGAUAACAUUUUGAACCGCAUGGUUCGAAAUUGAAAGGCGGCUUCGGCUGGCACUUAUGGAUGGACCCGCGUCGCAUCAGCUAGUUGGUGAGGUAACGGCUCACCAAGGCAACGAUGCGUGGCCGACCUGAGAGGGUGAUCGGCCACACUGGGACUGAGACACGGCCCAGACUCCUACGGGAGGCAGCAGUAGGGAAUCUUCCGCAAUGGACGAAAGUCUGACGGAGCAACGCCGCGUGAGUGAUGAAGGCUUUCGGGUCGUAAAACUCUGUUGUUAGGGAAGAACAAGUGCUAGUUGAAUAAGCUGGCACCUUGACGGUACCUAACCAGAAAGCCACGGCUAACUACGUGCCAGCCGCCGCGGUAA